CAUGCAAGAACAGUAGACCACUCAUGUUCACUUGGUAAUUCAUAUAUCAGUAACUCUAAGUACAAGAAAUUUGUGCAGAAGUUUACAUAUAGGUGGCGCAGUACAGAAGCAAAUUGAAAUGUAGAGUCUACAAACAUACAAAUAUGUGCAUUUUAUCACAAAGGAUGAAACUUACAUAUAUGCAUAUGCUUAUUCAUCAACAUCUGAAAAACACAGAGCUAUCUUUCUUAUGAUAUGGAGCAACUAGAUCAGAAUUCAGAGCUUGUUGUUAUACCAAUAAAUCCCUUUCCUUUCGUCUUCCUCGACAUAGACACAGUCUUUUAUAGCACUCCACAGCGAUUUGUAAAAUAUUGUGCCAUCAUACCGGUAGUACUCUCCGAGUAUCGGUUUGAUUGCUCUGUUGGCCUCCAUUGCAUGGUAAUGUGGGAUUGAUGUGAAGAGAUGAUGUGCUACAUGAGUAUUGGUUGCUUGAUAAUAGAUUGUGUCAAGGAUUCCGUAGUUUCGAUCAAUGGUAGACAAUGAUCAAUGGUAGACAAGAAGUUAGAACAAUGGAGAAAAUUGUGGUGCUCUUCAUUCUCAUCGUUACAUCAAGUGUUGUUCAGGGUUGCAUGACUUGGAAUGAGACGGAAAUGUCGCAAACAGUGGCAAAAAUAAAUCAGAUCACGGAGAGUUUUAUGAUUUUUCCAAAAAGGAUUAUGUAUGUGCAUAAGGAGAAAAACACUUGUUCUGGGUAUGAAAAGACAAACUGUGAUUGACGCUCAUGUAUUUUAAUUGAUAAAUAAUCAUGAAAUGCGUAUUGAUAAUUAAAUCACUUUAGUUUAUAUUAGUUUGUUUGUGUGAUAUGAUUUUAUUAUUAUGUGAUGUUCAAGUCUUCAUAUCCCUAGCAUUUUGAAUAUUUUGAAUAUUUUGUCUUUUGAUUCUUUGGUCUUUUUCAACAUGGUUUGGAUUGAGGAGUUUGUUAAUUUUUGAGUAAUACUUCUGCUGAAAUUGUUGAUAUCGAUACUAUAUACGACAGAUUUUAAUUUAUAAACAGAUAUGGAUCCUCGUGAAUUCCGUACCGGAACGUGAGAUCUGGUAGAAAAAUAAGCCGGAAGAGCAGUCGAGAUUAUCUUAUUAAUUUUUUAAUUACUUAUCCGAUUAAUCUCCUGAUUAUUUCUCUUACUCUCCCCCUAUUUCUAUAUCCCCCUCUCCCUCCCUUCUCUCUCACACCCGCACACACAUGUAAAUUGGUUUGUGAAGAUUACUGUAACGUAUUGUUUGAGCGAUCACUGUCCUAACCUGUUUGACAAAAUGUCUCUGGGAAGCCAAAUAAUGUAUUUACUGGACUAGUGUAUGCCCUUGUCUUAACUAGUAUUUUUACCCUACUCUGUUUGUUUGACAGUAUCAUAUCUACAUCAUGUGUUAUAUUGGUUAUAUUGAUUUAAUGUAAGUUCUCACGGUCACCAUGUUUUUUCCCCUAUUCAAUACGAAAUGAUCAUUGUGCCUGGCGUAAAUUUUACAGGUCUAAUGGGUUGUAGAGUAGAUGUUGAAAUGCACACGUAAUCGAAGUUUAAUUACAUGUGCUUAUCAUGAUAGUGCAUUGAAUUCUAAAUACUCAUAUAAACACUUUAUGUCAAUGAUAUUUUGAGUCGGUGCCCUGUGUGAGAUGAGAUGAUUAUAAGCUAAUGUUGGAUUGGGUCUUUGUUGUUAUACCAAUAGGCCCCUUUGCUUUCGUCUUCCUCUGACAUAGACACACUCUUUUCUAGCACUCCACAGUGAUUUAUAAAAUAUUGUGCCAUCAUCCUGGUAGUACUCUCCAAGUAUAGGUUUGAUUGCUCUGGUGGCUUCCAGUGCAUGGUAAUGUGGGAUUGAUGUGAAGAGAUGAUGUGCUACAUGAGUAUUAGUUGCUUGAUAAUAGAUUGUGUCGAAGAUUCAGUAGUUUCGGUCAAUGGUAGACAAUAAUCCCCUUAGCCAAUCCCAUUUGGUAGAAUCAUUGUAAGGUACUAGAGGAUGAGCAUGGUGAAGUAAAGCCACUAUGAAAAGCAUACUAGUCUGAACCAGGUGUGGUCCUCUGUAAACAAGAGCAAUCCAAGCAAAUCCUUUUAGUGAAACGAGUGUGUAUAGUCCAUAGAGCAUGGCGAGUAAUGCAGUGUCAGAAAGUAAGAUUUGAGCGCGUUGGUUAGGUGAGUACAUUGGACUAAACGGGUAGAAAUGAGAGGCGAAUUGGUUAUAAGCACGAUCACGGAAGUUUACAAGCAAGUAUAGAGGCACACCGAAGAUUAAAACCAGAGUGAUGACCAAGAAUCUUGGUACAGGAUGUGUGGUCAAGUGCUUGUGAAUUGAUGGAACUUGGGACUUGAGCAGAGGGAUGUCUAGUUCGUCUUGUUCAAGAGAACCGGUUUUUGUGUGGUGGCGAUGGUGACUGUACUUAAACGAGAAGGAAACAGGAGGAAGGAGUGCAGGGUGAAUCCAACUGUGUCGUCAAGCCAUUUGUACUCACUGAAAGCAUUGUGACCACAUUCGUGGCCUAUGAUCCAAAACCGUGAGAAGACACACCCUUGUAUCACUGAAUAAAGAAUGCAGGUCAUAUAGAAGUAUAUUCGAUGCAUAGGUUGUGCCAUGAUUGUUGUGAAAAUGUAGAAAAGAGAGAGGAACACAGUGGUAUCAGAGAGAAGGUAUGAAAAAGAGCGAAAAGCAGAACGCUUAAAGCAAUGGGGAGGUAUAGCUUUCUUCAGAUCACUGAUAGUGAAUUCGGGUCUUGAGACAGGAACUCUUGAUACUUUUGUAUCCGAAUCCGACUUCUGAUCCAUUGCUCUGCAAAGAUUCAAGUAAUAUAAUUACACACAGUUCAUUCGACAAAAGAACAGAACUUAUAAAACUGUAUCAACAUAAGAGCUGAGGUAAUCUCAGAAUGUACCUUGUGUGAUGUUGCAGUUGUUUCAUUGCAUAACUAAACAGCAGGUAUUUAUAGGCACACUGAAACAUUUGAGCAAAUAAAUAAACUCAAUU